GACGAACGCUGGCGGCGUGCUUAACACAUGCAAGUCGAACGGAAAGGCCCUGCUUUUGUGGUGUUCUCGAGUGGCGAACGGGUGCGUAACACGUGAGUAACCUGCCCUUGACUUUGGGAUAACUUCAGGAAACUGGGGCUAAUACCGGAUAGGAGCUCCUGCUGCAUUGUGGGGGUUGGAAAGUUUCGGCGGUUGGGGAUGGACUCGCGGCUUAUCAGCUUGUUGGUGGGGUAGUGGCUUACCAAGGCUUUGACGGGUAGCCGGCCUGAGAGGGUGACCGGCCACAUUGGGACUGAGAUACGGCCCAGACUGCUACGGGAGGCAGCAGUGGGGAAUAUUGCACAAUGGGCGGAAGCCUGAUGCAGCAACGCCGCGUGCGGGAUGACGGCCUUCGGGUUGUAAACCGCUUUCGCCUGUGACGAAGCGUGAGUGACGGUAAUGGGUAAAGAAGCACCGGCUAACUACGUG
rnacentral:rRNA from 1 species